rnacentral:rRNA from 1 species
AACGAACGCUGGCGGCAUGCCUAACACAUGCAAGUCGAACGAGACCUUCGGGUCUAGUGGCGCACGGGUGCGUAACGCGUGGGAACCUGCCCUUAGGUUCGGAAUAACUCCCCGAAAGGGGUGCUAAUACCGGAUAAUGUCUUCGGACCAAAGAUUUAUCGCCUUUGGAUGGGCCCGCGUUGGAUUAGCUAGUUGGUAGGGUAAAAGCCUACCAAGGCGACGAUCCAUAGCUGGUCUGAGAGGAUGAUCAGCCACACUGGGACUGAGACACGGCCCAGACCCCUCCGGGAGGAAGGAGGGGGGAAUAUUGGACAAGGGGCGAAAGCCGGAACCAGCAAUGCCGGGGGAGUGAUGAAGGCCUUGGGGUUGUAAAGCUCUUUUACCCGGGAUGAAAAUGACAGGACCGGGAAAAAAAGCCCCGGCUAACCCCGG